AGAGUUUGAUCCUGGCUCAGAUUGAACGCUGGCGGCAUGCCUUACACAUGCAAGUCGAACGGUAACGCGGGGCAACCUGGCGACGAGUGGCGAACGGGUGAGUAAUGCAUCGGAACGUGCCCAGUAGUGGGGGAUAGCCCGGCGAAAGCCGGAUUAAUACCGCAUACGACCUACGGGUGAAAGCGGGGGACUCGCAAGAGCCUCGCGCUAUUGGAGCGGCCGAUGUCAGAUUAGGUAGUUGGUGGGGUAAAAGCCUACCAAGCCGACGAUCUGUAGCUGGUCUGAGAGGACGACCAGCCACACUGGGACUGAGACACGGCCCAGACUCCUACGGGAGGCAGCAGUGGGGAAUUUUGGACAAUGGGCGCAAGCCUGAUCCAGCCAUGCCGCGUGCGGGAAGAAGGCCUUCGGGUUGUAAACCGCUUUUGUCAGGGAAGAAACGCUCUGGGCUAAUACCCUGGGGUAAUGACGGUACCUGAAGAAUAAGCACCGGCUAACUACGUGCCAGCAGCCGCGGUAAUACGUAGGGUGCAAGCGUUAAUCGGAAUUACUGGGCGUAAAGCGUGCGCAGGCGGUUAUGCAAGACAGAUGUGAAAUCCCCGGGC
rnacentral:rRNA from 1 species